CGGGCUGUAGCGCAGUUGGUAGCGCGCAGCGUUCGGGACGCUGAGGUCGCGGGUUCAAAUCCCGCCAGCCCGACCA
rnacentral:tRNA from 1 species